GGAUUAUCUUAUUGUUUAUUUAAAUAUUUAAACUCUAAAGGAAGCAAUCAUUCCUUUAUACCUCUUCAAAUUUGGGAUUGACAUUUUUAUUUUGGGAAGGGAGAUUUUAAAACAUGGAAUACAGGAAAAGAAAACUCUCCAGUAAAAAUAUUGUCUAAAAAGUUUGUUUUGUCUGCAUGGUUUACUAAAUAUGUACAAUUCCAACUCACAGCGAAGGUAACAAAGAUUUCAACAGCCAACAUCACAAAUGUUUCAAGUUCUAAAAAAAUCACUGUGCACAGUUUAACAAUUUUAAUUGAAUAAAACCAAGGUUAAGCCUUCAGUCUGAAUAUUAGUCUUUUUUUUUUUAAAAAAGAUGGGCAUAAGUCAUGUCUUUUCAUCAUCUUUGUUACACAAUGCAGCUUUCAGUGACUAAAAGCCCCUUCACAUUUUAGUAUAUUAGAUUAUGUCAGUACAUAUUUAUGAGAAGCAUAAAUCAGCUUUUGGUACACCUAGAUGAUUUCUUGGUACACAUACAUGUCAUAAGAUUUAAUCAAUGUUUUAAAAUGUUCAGAUGAGUCAGCUUUGAUUUAUUUGAUGUUUUCAAAUGGAGGGAUGUGCCAUUUUGUUGCAUGUAAAAAAAAAAAAAAAACCUUGCAGUUUAUGGGAGUGCUAAUUAGAGCCAUAAUAAUUUGACCAGCAUGCCCUUGAUCUAAAAUGCCUAGGAGGAAUUACUCUGUUCUUGAAAGAGACAGAUUUCACAUCUCCAUACAUUUCAGAUUUGGAAAGUUCAUUAUUAUAUGUAUCUACAUCUUGUGGUCAUUCUGUUAUAAUGUUCAAGUGAUUGCUGAGCCAAUCAAUCAUCAGAAAAAAUGUCAUUGAAUGCAGUGUAGCUGACUUAGAGUUAAUGAGGGAGUCAUAACUUUGGCUACUCUAUAAAAUUUCAACAAUCAGGUUGUACUCACAUAUAUUUUUCCAUGUAAAUUCUUUGUUGUUGUUUUUUUAAUGGAGAGCUGUGAUUGAUGAACAUGCUCUAUGAGAUUCAAAUAAUUGCACUGAGCAUGUUUAUUUGAAUAACUGCCCCAUUGCAUAUUCAAAUAAAUCCACUGAGUGUGUUUGUUGGAAUGUUUUUACAUGUACAUGGAAUCACAUGCUCAAAUAAAUGCAGCUGUGUUUAUUUCAAUGUGCAACACUCCAGAUAUACACAUGCAUGUUUGUGUGGACUACAUCUCUAGGGCACUUACUAUACUCCUGAUGUUCUUAAGCAUCCUGGAUGGGAAGCACAGUGAAUUUUUUUUUUCCUAUACUUAAAACCUUAUACUCUGAACAAUUUGGUCAAAUGUCAAAUGAAUUUCUUUUCAAUAAGGUUUAUAUCCUUUAUAAACUAGAAAUUAAUUAAUUUUUUAGAUCUUUUAAUAGAGAAAAUUAUACAUAACAAAAUUAUUCAAAUGUAACUUCUCUUCUUCCUUUCUUUUCUCUCUCCCUAACCCCCACUACACCUUCACUUUUUCAUGUGGAGUAGAUAGAUGUUUUUGCUAAGUUACUGCUGAGGAAACCUGGUCUAUAUUUCUCUACCCAUUUAGUCUAGACCAUAGUCUAUUAAUAACAUAUUAAAAAGGACAGGUGGCACAGAAGAGUUGCAUCAAGUAUGCCAAAAGACAAAUGGCUAUUGGGAUGUCUAUUCCUUCACACAGUCCAUUCCACCACUAUUUUAGAGCUAGUUUUCUUAGAAAUUUUGUACUGGAAAGAUCUCAUUUAAGUUAGGCUAUGGGCCAAGAGUGAGUCAGAACUUGUUAAGGCAGACUAGCCAGAUGUAUUUGAUGCUGUUAGUGCAAUGAACACACCUAACGUGGAAGAGGAGUAGCCCAUUCGCCAUUUUGGAAAUAAUAUUUUCAAAAGGACAAAAGCUAUAUUGAUUUGUGCAUCACCAGUGUCAUUGAAAAAGAAUAAACUUUUUAAAAAAUUAGUUUAUGUGGAGGCACAGUAGUUAUUAUCAAGACAAGUGGUGUUUUGGCUUAGACAUUGAUUAUUAAUUAGGGUGAUUGUCAUAGAGUUUUGUGUGGGAACUCGAAAGUCCCUUGACUCGGGUUGAGAAAUAAAGAUGGAAGAAAGUCUGAAGCAUCUCCCUAGAAUUCUCUACCUUUUCCAAGGAGAAAGAAUAAGUUGUAUUCACAUUGCUUGUUUGUUGGGUCCUGCUUCCUGCAGAUUGGGACAUGGAGGUGCCCAUGGGCAUAAUAGACCUACAUUGCUGUCAAGGAGACCACAGGGACUUCUCAAACCCAGACAAAACUUAAUGGCUUGAUAUUUUCAGGUUGAAUUAAUAAAAUUACUGCCUGGGGCCUUUAAAACCAGAGAAAUCCUUAGAGUGUAUUUAUUUAUGCCAUUCAAAAGUUCCAGACUUGGUGAUGGAAUUUUCUCAACUUUCCUAAAAUGAAAACUUUGAACAGGGGAUAAGUGGGAAGAAUAUUGUCCCAAUGCCAUUUUCCCAUUCCAUGCCAUGUGUCCAUUUAAUCACUAUUGCAUCUUCAGUUUUAUUAACCUUUAAAGAGUCCCAGUUUCCUCAUUUGUAAAAUGGGAUUAUAUGUGCAUUACCUACCUCACAGGAUUGUUUCAAGGAAGGCACUCUGCAAACCCUAAAGCACUAUACAAAUGUGAGUUAUGAUGUCAUUUAUUUAGUAUAAUGCUUUAACAAUUGUGUGUCUAAGUGCAAAAAAUGACUUUUGUGAAGUCUAAGGGGUAGGUAUUUAUAUUCUAAGGAAUAUGUGUAAACAAUGUCUUUUUUUGAUUUGAAAUAUAAUAUUUAAAGUCUUAGAAAAUUCAAUAAUAAAAUGAUACUUUACUUUUUAUGCUAAAGUAGAAAAAUUAUGUGGGAAGACAUUAUAUGAUAGCACUGUAUAUUCAAGAACUGCAAAUUUGAUAAGGUAAUCUGCUUCUCCUCUUCUGUUUCUCUUCCCUUGGCAAUUAGAUUUAAGAAGCAGGAUUCAGUUUCUCAAUAAAAGUCAUUAUGUAAAAACUAUGAAUACAUUCAUAUUGUGAAUAUUAGGGUCAUCUUGUAAGAAACUGCAAAACUGGCUUGGAGAAUGAUGAUUAUUUUUGUUAGACUUUGCUUCAGCUUUUCUCCCCACCCUUAGUUUAAGAAAAAUGGUAAACUAUAGUCUGCAUUUCAAUAAAAUGAGAUAAGCUAGCCCAAUCUAUUAUAAAGGUAGCAU
rnacentral:lncRNA from 1 species